rnacentral:rRNA from 1 species
GAUGAACGCUAGCGGCAGGCUUAACACAUGCAAGUCGAGGGGCAGCACGGAAGUGGUAACACUAUUGGUGGCGACCGGCGGACGGGUGCGUGACGCGUAUACAACCUUCCCUAAACAGGGGGAUAAUCUGGAGAAAUUCGGUCUAAUACCCCAUAACAUCAGAGCAGGCAUCUGUUUUGGUUAAAAUUUCCGGAGGUUUAGGAUGGGUAUGCGUAGCAUUAGCUAGUUGGUGAGGUAACGGCUCACCAAGGCGACGAUGCUUAGGGGGACUGAGAGGUUAACCCCCCACACUGGUACUGAGACACGGACCAGACUCCUACGGGAGGCAGCAGUGAGGAAUAUUGGUCAAUGGGCGGAAGCCUGAACCAGCCAUGCCGCGUGCAGGAUGACGGCUCUAUGAGUUGUAAACUGCUUUUGUACGAGGGUAAAGUGGGCUACGUGUAGCCUUUUGAAAGUAUCGUACGAAUAAGGAUCGGCUAACUCCGUGCCAGCCGCCGCCGUAA